UACGUAUGUCCCGAGCGUUAUCCGGAUUUAUUGGGCGUAAAGCGAGCGCAGACGGUUGGUUAAGUCUGAUGUGAAAGCCCGGAGCUCAACUCCGGAAAGGCAUUGGAAACUGGUCAACUUGAGUGCAGUAGAGGUAAGUGGAACUCCAUGUGUAGCGGUGGAAUGCGUAGAUAUAUGGAAGAACACCAGCGGCGAAGGCGGCUUACUGGACUGUAACUGACGUUGAGGCUCGAAAGUGUGGGUAGCAAACAGG
rnacentral:rRNA from 1 species